rnacentral:rRNA from 1 species
CAGCAGCCGCGGUAAAACGGAGGAUCCGAGCGUUAUCCGGAAUCAUUGGGUUUAAAGGGUCCGUAGGCGGUCUGGUAAGUCAGUGGUGAAAGCCCAUCGCUCAACGGUGGAACGGCCAUUGAUACUGCAGGACUUGAAUUAUUGGGAAGUAACUAGAAUAUGUAGUGUAGCGGUGAAAUGCUUAGAGAUUACAUGGAAUACCAAUUGCGAAGGCAGGUUACUACCAAUUGAUUGACGCUGAUGGACGAAAGCUUGGGUAGCGAACAGGAUUAGAUACCCCAGUAGUCCCUGUCUCUUAUAU